rnacentral:rRNA from 1 species
UGGCGAACGGGUGAGUAACACGUGAGUAACCUGCCCUUGACUUUGGGAUAACUUCAGGAAACUGGGGCUAAUACCAGAUAGGAGCUCCUGCUGCAUGGUGGGGGUUGGAAAGUUUCGGCGGUUGAGGAUGGACUCGCGGCUUAUCAGCUUGUUGGUGGGGUAGUGGCUUACCAAGGAUUUGACGGGUAGCCGGCCUGAGAGGGUGACCGGCCACAUUGGGACUGAGAUACGGCCCAG